CAAUGUGUCAGAGCAGGAACAAUGACUACAUCCCUUAAUUUAGAGCAUCUCCGACUGGGCUGCUAGAUGGGCUUCAUAUACACCAUGCAGAGGGGAAAUGAUCAAAUACAGACCAGAUAUAGAAACAUACCCAAUGAGGAGGAAAUGAAGCAGACAAAAAAAUAUGUUUGCAUCAACUCAAUGAGCUGUGUUGGGAAGACAACGCUGUUGAUUGACAUUUUAACGGAGCAACACAGAAAGAGAAUCGGCUGUCAUACUCAAUGAAUUUGGAGAAGGAGGCGCUCUGGAGAAGUCUCGAGCUGUGAGCCAUGCAGGAGAGCUGUAUGAGGAAUGGCUGGAGGUCAGGAACGGCUGCCUCUGCUGCUCCGUCAAGUAUAGUCACAGUCAUCCACGCAACAUACGGAAUACAGGUCUCUAAAUGAUCUGGUCAAGAUUCUGGAAAUGGAGAAACCUGGAUAAAGAGAUCCUACAGGAACAGUUCAUCUCAACAGUACUAAAGGUGGGGGACAGGAACUAAACAAGAACUCCUCCCUCUCUCUCCUCAUGGUGAACUAUUCCAGUUUAUUCCUGAUACACUUCACAUUUGGACCUACCUACUGCAAUUGUGUUAAUCCUCAUAAUUCUGGUGUUCCACUUCAGUCCAGGAGGACCUCAAAACGUUAUGGUAUUUACUGUUAAUGAUGACUACAUGCCCAAUCUGAUAAGCAUCUUAUUGACUACAAUACAGUAAGGUUUUACGGAGGACCAAUUGUUGAGACUUGGUGUAAUUGGGCCCCUUGCUCAGGGGCCAGAUGCUAUGAGGAAACAUUAGAUUAGUGUGUGAAUGGACUUAAUCCAUAAUCAACCAUGUUAGCUAUCUCAUUACCCAGUGAUAUACCCGACCCUCAAAGCGACAACUUGAGAAUAGAGAUGUGAUUAGCGCCCUUACUGUCAUUUUCUCUGUAAAUGAUUUGAAACUUUGGAAACCCUUAACAAUACACCCCUAACAAUUAAUACCUUAUUAAUUGAAGUUUGAGGGUAUUCCUCAAUAGUUAGGCUGUUUUUAGGUCUGUAAGUUGUUGGUGAAGUUAAGGUUUUGUACAGACUUUUAUCACAUCUCAAAAGUGGUACAACACAAAAUUAGGCUGGUCUGUAAAUGUCCACGCGCUUGACUAUUAGCUUGUGAAUACGUUUGUUUAAAUUAUUGAAAUAAACAAGAAUCUGAUUUUAAAGAUAGGUGUUUACAAUAUUUAAUGUUUCACUAUUUUUAAGUAUUGACUGCCAUUUUGUUGUAAUGGCUAAUAAUUGUGAACUAGCGAAUUGAUUUAAA